UACGUAGGGGGCUAGCGUUGUCCGGAAUCAUUGGGCGUAAAGCGCGUGUAGGCGGCCCGGUAAGUCCGCUGUGAAAGUCGGGGGCUCAACCCUCGGAUGCCGGUGGAUACUGUCGGGCUUGAGUGCGGAAGAGGCGAGUGGAAUUCCUGGUGUAGCGGUGAAAUGCGCAGAUAUCGGGAAGAACACCAAUGGCGAAGGCAGCUCUCUGGGACGGUACUGACGCUGAGACGCGAAAGCGUGGGGAGCGAACAGGA
rnacentral:rRNA from 1 species